rnacentral:lncRNA from 1 species
GGCGGGCGUUCGAGGAGUGGAAAGCGCAUCAAAAGUAGGAAACUCAGCUAAAAAAUGCAAAAUCGAACUACGUUUCUACAAGAAAAUCCCAGCAUGGAUAUGCGAAUACCAUCAAGAAGUUUUGCCGUAUAUUUACAGAGCAAUCGGGUCAAAAUAUUUGCCGUUUUCCGGCAUAACUUUGCUGCAUUUUGACUCGCAUCCCGACCUGAUGGCCCCGCUGGAUAUGAAGGCUGAAAGCGUGUAUAAUAAAGAUAUAUUGUUUGAUGUUGUAAGUAUUGCAGAUUGGAUAUUACCUGCAGUUUAUGUUGGCCAUAUUAAGAAAGUUAUUUGGAUAAAACCGCCAUGGUCAGAACAGAUUUCUGAUAAAAUAUUAUGCUUUAAUGUUGGGAGUCAUAAAGUUGAACGAACAAUAAG